UGGCAACACAAAUGCUAAAAUACUGAAACUAGAACAAUACAGAGAAGAUUAGUGUGGCCCCGGUGUAAGGAUGAUUUGCAAAUUCAUAAAGAAUUUUGUAGUGUGU